UACGUAGGUGGCAAGCGUUGUCCGGAAUUAUUGGGCGUAAAGCGCGCGCAGGCGGUCCUUUAAGUCUGAUGUGAAAGCCCACGGCUCAACCGUGGAGGGUCAUUGGAAACUGGGGGACUUGAGUGCAGAAGAGGAGAGUGGAAUUCCACGUGUAGCGGUGAAAUGCGUAGAGAUGUGGAGGAACACCAGUGGCGAAGGCGACUCUCUGGCCUGUAACUGACGCUGAGGCGCGAAAGCGUGGGGAGCAAACAGG
rnacentral:rRNA from 1 species